rnacentral:rRNA from 1 species
GACGAACGCUGGCGGCGUGCCUAACACAUGCAAGUCGAGCGGAAAGGCCCUUCGGGGUACUCGAGCGGCGAACGGGUGAGUAACACGUGAGCAAUCCGCCCCUAGCUUUGGGAUAGCUCCGGGAAACCGGGAUUAAUACCGGAUAUGACCACGGCUGACAUCAGCCACGGUGGAAAGUUUUUCGGCUAGGGAUGAGCUUG